ACUGCAAAAACACUUUUGUUAUUGUGACACAGUUUGCUACCGGCACAAAAUGUUAUCUUGACAAAACGUUUGUCAAUUUCCUGCAAUUAUUGUUAUAACGACAAAUCAUAGUUUAUUUAACUAUUAAUAUAGUUUAUCUAACUAUUAAUAUUUGUUAUUAUAAUGGUAGAUUGUUAUUUGAACACAUGUGUUGUCAUUUUGUCGAAGCGUUGUUGAUCUCACAUUUAGUGGAAGUUACCGUUCAUUGUCAAAUUAACAUUAUGUUGUGACAAUAACAAAUUAUAAAGUUACAGCUAGAACUCUACUAAAAGAUACGUGCAAGUUUGCAUCACUGAUUUCAACCUACUCAACCUAUACUCGAUUACCCUAGCUCGUAAUAAAUUGUCUACACUGAAGCAUCUCAGUUGCCCUGAUGCUUAUAUCUUUGCAUGCUCAUGUUCAAUUGUGUAUGUAGCAAUUGGAGACUUGUGACUGGGCAUGGUAAGUUACAGUGGCAGUGAAGAAGUCAGGAGCCUCCAGAGUCCUUCAGUGCAGUGCAGUGCAGGCAGCCUUCUCUCUAUAGCCGGCCUCCUUCACAAGGCCUGGCCUGAAGAGCGGCCUGGGAUCGAGCUUCUCUCUAGCCUCUAACUCUAGCUAGUCUCGAGGCCAGGAGAGUUUGGCCUCGAGACUAUAAUUAAGCUGGAACUAUAGGUGUGGCAUGAGGGGGCGUUCAGGAAUAACAGGGCAAGGCCUCAACAUACUUAGCACAUGGUGCUUGCAGCUGCACCAGACUGCAGCUGCUCAUGCAGCUUUAUACCAUCACUAGCGCGCACUGACUGCAUGCCUGUACCCCUGGCCCUGGGCUACCAUGUUCCAUGUACACCAGCUAGGAUCUAGGAGUCAAGAGUCACCUGCAUCUGCAGCUUGAAAGAAAAGACAAUUGCAAAUUUUCUUAAAGAGUAGAUAGUACCACCAUCUCAAAGAAAAAAGUUAAGUUCCAUUGCAUGCUGUUGGCGCAUGGCAUGUACAUGAUCCCAAAACUCUCUGAAUUCACAGUUUACACUGAAUCACUGCUAUACCGUAUCGGCGUAUAACUCCACCAUGUACCAGCUUCAAAGAAAAAGGAUUUAAGUUAUGUUGCUCAUUGCUAAAUAAAUGUGUUUACGUGUUUCUUCCAGCUGCAGAUUUUACCGUACCUCGGCCCCACAAUGUGUACCAGCUAGGAGUCUACUUAACAACCACCUUCAUCGACUUCAAAGAAACGACUUGCAAGUUAUGUCAGAUUCCAUAAAACUAUAUAGCUAGCUAGAGGGCAACUGUCCCUGGCCUGAUUUCGACCUUCAUCUGUAGCAUACUGAUUUACGAGUUUGUGUCUUCAUGCACUGGUUUUGACUGGUCAACUUCGUCCAUGGGGUGAUAGCUAGCAUACUGAUUUACGAGUUUGUGUGUAUGUGUCCUCAUGUGUCAGUUACACUGGUUUCGACUGGUCAACUUCGUCCAUGGGGUGAUAGCUAGCAUACUGAUUUACGAGUUUGUGUGUAUGUGUCCUUACGUGUCAGUUACACUGGUUUCGACUGGUCAACUUCGUCCAUGGGGUGAUAGCUAGCAUUGUAAUUUACCAGUUUGUGUGUAUGUGUCCUCAUGCGUCAGUUACACUGGUUUCGACUGGUCAACUUCGUCCAUGGGGUGAUAGCUAGCAUUGUAAUUUACCAGUUUGUGUGUAUGCGUCCUCAUGCGUCAGUUACACUGGUUUCGACUGGUCAACUUCGUCCAUGGGGUGAUAGCUAGCAUUGUAAUUUACCAGUUUGUGUGUAUGUGUCCUCACGCGUCAGUUACACUGGUUUCGACUGGUCAACUUCGUCCAUGGGGUGAUAGCUAGCAUUGUAAUUUACCAGUUUGUGUGUAUGUGUCCUCACGUGUCAGUUACACUGGUUUCGACUGGUCAACUUCGUCCAUGGGGUGAUAGCUAGCAUACUGAUUUACGAGUUUGUGUGUAUGUGUCCUCAUGCGUCAGUUACACUGGUUUCGACUGGUCAACUUCGUCCAUGGGGUGAUAGCUAGCAUUGUAAUUUACUAGUUUGUGUGUAUGUGUCCUCACGUGUCAGUUACACUGGUUUCGACUGGUCAACUUCGUCCAUGGGGUGAUAGCUAGCAUACUGAUUUACGAGUUUGUGUGUAUGUGUCCUCAUGUGUCAGUUACACUGGUUUCGACUGGUCAACUUCGUCCAUGGGAUGAUAGCUAGCAUACUGAUUUACGAGUUUGUGUGUAUGUGUCCUCAUGUGUCAGUUACACUGGUUUCGACUGGUCAACUUCGUCCAUGGGGUGAUCGAUAGCUAGCAUACUGAUUUACGAUUUUGUGUGUAUGUGUCCUCACGUGUCAGUUACACUGGUUUCGACUGGUCAACUUCGUCCAUGGGGUGAUAGCUAUAGCAUACUGAUUUACGAGUUUGUGUGUAUGUGUCCUCAUGUGUCAGUUACACUGGUCAACUUCGUCCAUGGGGUGAUAGCUAGCAUACUGAUUUACGAGUUUGUGUGUAUGUGUCCUCAUGCGUCAGUUACACUGGUUUCGACUGGUCAACUUCGUCCAUGGGGUGAUAGCUAGCAUUGUAAUUUACUAGUUUGUGUGUAUGUGUCCUCACGUGUCAGUUACACUGGUUUCGACUGGUCAACUUCGUCCAUGGGGUGAUAGCUAGCAUACUGAUUUACGAGUUUGUGUGUAUGUGUCCUCAUGUGUCAGUUACACUGGUUUCGACUGGUCAACUUCGUCCAUGGGAUGAUAGCUAGCAUACUGAUUUACGAGUUUGUGUGUAUGUGUCCUCAUGUGUCAGUUACACUGGUUUCGACUGGUCAACUUCGUCCAUGGGGUGAUCGAUAGCUAGCAUACUGAUUUACGAUUUUGUGUGUAUGUGUCCUCACGUGUCAGUUACACUGGU